rnacentral:misc_RNA from 1 species
UCGGUGCUCAUCAGGUAU